CAGUAGCCGCGGUAAUACGAAGGGUGCAAGCGUUAAUCGGAAUUACUGGGCGUAAAGCGUGCGUAGGCGGUGAGUUAAGUCUGCUGUGAAAUCCCCGGGCUCAACCUGGGAAUGGCAAUGGAUACUGGCAAGCUAGAGUGUGUCAGAGGAUGGUGGAAUUCCCGGUGUAGCGGUGAAAUGCGUAGAGAUCGGGAGGAACAUCAGUGGCGAAGGCGGCCAUCUGGGACAACACUGACGCUGAGGCACGAAAGCGUGGGGAGCAAACAGGAUUAGAUACCCGUGUAGUCCCUGUCUCUUAUAA
rnacentral:rRNA from 1 species